AUGUACAUAAAUCUGGUGUUUGUUCGUGUUUGUCAAGACAAUAUUUUUUGCAUCCACAUAUGUUGCCUUAAAAUUUGGGUUCUUGUCAUUCAUGCAUCGUGCUUGGUAGUCUACUUGCCUGGUUCAGGUCUUAGGAUCAACAUAUCACUAUGGCAUAAGAGUUCUUGUGUUUGUUCUGGUUGUCUUCUGGCCACUUGUGUUUACAUUUUAUCCAGAACUCAUGAAGACUUGGUGGUGUGCCUAAAAAGUUCAGGUUUGAGGAUUGAAAAAGGUCGGCAUGGAAUAAUUAUGGAAAACAAUGAGUUUUCACUUUUCAGUGUUUUGCUACUGAUAAGUCUACAUUUCUACCUCGCAUUCUACAGUACACUCUUGGAGUCGACUCAGAUAACAGCUAUGUUGAAUAGAUAA
rnacentral:rRNA from 1 species